rnacentral:ncRNA from 1 species
CAACGGUUUUUGGUGUCCGCAAGGACUUAAUAGGGAACCGGGUGAGAAUCCCGGACAGUUCCCGCUGCUGUAAGCUCUUGUAGCGUCAGCAUGAUGUCACUGCCCUGCUCAAAAGGGUGGGAAGACGCUGACGUAAGGAGCAAGUCAGAAGACCUGCCAACAGCCU